rnacentral:lncRNA from 1 species
GUGUGAAUACAUGAAGUUUGGACAGGCUUCUCCAUGGCCUGGACACCAGUUCCCAGCUAAGUCACUUUCUUUUUGGCUAAAAACCCCUGCCCAGAAGCUGAUCAUUGCAGUGCUGGUGGAGAUCGCAGGUCGCUCAGGCUUGCAGAUGGGUCAAGGGCUGUGGAGAGCGGCCAGAAACCAGCAGCUACAACAGGAAGGAUAUAGUGAGCAAGGCUACCUCACCAGAGAGCAGAGCAGAAGAAUGGCUGUAAGCAACGUUUCUAACACUGAUCAUUGCAAGCAAGUCCAAGGAGGCAUUGAUAUGUGUCAUCUUUUGAAAGCAAGGAAAUCUAAAGAACAAGAAGGAUUCAUUAAUUUGGUAAUGUUGGCUCCUGAACUGAGCUUUACCAUCUUGUCCUACGUGAAUGCAACUGACCUAUGUAUGGCUUCAUGUGUUUGGCAGGACCUUGCUAAUGAUGAACUUCUCUGGCAAGGAUAAAUCAGAGAGAAGAACAUGGCAUAGAAAACCAGUAGAUCCCACAUGCCAGGAAUCUCCAUGAGGAGAAAGUCCAUCAUCAUGGUGGAGUUGGACAUCUGUGAGAGAUGCGGCUUUUGCCUGAGAAGAGAAGACAGAAGUGCUGAAUCCAGGAAGAAUCGCAGUGUGGAAAUUUCAUUCAUAACUAUUAAAUUGUGGAUCAAGGUAUCACAGGGGUAUUUGCUGCUUAGCUCUCCUAAUAUUUUAGGAUGAUAAUUCAUUAGUCUGAAUGAUACGCUUUUUC